GAUUGUAUGGGUAUCAAUUGCAAUACUGGUGGGGUUAUUCAUGUUUCAAAGAUUUGGAACCGACAAAGUUGGCUAUACCUUCGCUCCCAUUAUUUGUGUUUGGUUCGCAUUCAUCGCAGCCAUUGGCGUCUACAAUUUCAUCAAAUAUGAUCCAUCCGUAGUUAAAGCUAUAAAUCCCAAAUAUAUCAUACACUAUUUCAGNNNNNNNNNNNNNNNNNNNNNNNNNNNNNNNNNNNNNNNNNNNNNNNNNNNNNNNNNNNNNNNNNNNNNNNNNNNNNNNNNNNNNNNNNNNNNNNNNNNNUAUACUCCCUCCGUCCCUAUUUAAAUUAAUGACGUUUUAGAGAUGAGCACAAACAUUAAGAUAAUGAUUGAAAAACAUUAAAUAUAGUACUCAAUUGUCUAUAAUACCCUUAAAUCUUUUGUUAGGAUAAGGAGAGUUUUGUUGAGAUAAGAAAAGUUUUGUUGGGAUAAGGGGAAAGAAAGAGAGAAAAAGUUUCAAAAAAGUAGGAAGAAUAAUGAGGGGUAAUUUUGGAAAAAUUGUCAUUAAUUCUCCUAGAUUUGAACAAACAUCAAAUAAUUAAGGACAAAUAAAAAACUCUAAAACGUCAUUUAAAUAGAGACGGAGGGACUACUAUGUUGCAUAGUACUAAUCGAACCUUGUAGGAAAAAAAAUGUCAAAAGUUGGAAAGGAUCAAAUGUUCACGCAGUACUACUAAAACUCAUUCACUCCCUGACGGCUGACCCCGGCCUUCACCUAAAAAUAAAAUACCUUUUUUAAUUCCUUUAAUUCUUUGUAGAAUCAAAUUAAGUUGGACAGGACGGUAGUUUUUACACGAUCUGUAAAAAAAUAAAAUAAAAAUAAAAAUAAAAAUGUUGAGUAUAAAUUACUAAACAUAUAGAUAUUGCAACCUAUACCAGCUUAAAAGUAAGUUAAAACAUGUGUUGUGUUGUUGGUUUAGGUGGAACUUUUGCUUUGUAUUCUUUGAUAUGCCGAUAUGCAAAGGUGGGUCUGAUUCCAAGUCAAGAAGCGGCAGAUAAAGAUGUGUCUAAUUUUCAGCUUGAGUUGCCUAAUAAUCGACUCAGGCGAGCAUCAAGCCUCAAAUCAAAGCUAGAGAAGAGCCAGUUUUCUAAAUUCUUCCUCUUGUUUGCCACCAUGCUUGGUACUUCCAUGGUCAUUGGAGAUGGAGUUCUCACUCCUUGCAUUUCAGGUUCUUGUUUUAAUUAUUUAUAUAUAUAUAUAUAUAUAUAUAUAUAUAUAUAUAUAUAUAUAUAUAUGGGGAAUGAUCCAUAGUUUGCGUCUGUCCAAUGAAAGAUCUAAGGGCUGGGUUGGGGGCGGCCGCUACUCCCUUUAGCGGUCAGCCAAAUUUUUUUAUGUUAACCGUUACUCCUUUUAAGAGUUAUAUACUUGCUUUGAAACUAACUCUGCUCCAAAUCAUUUGGCAGUUUUAUCGGCUGUGGGAGGAAUUAAGGAAGCUACGUCCUUCAUGACCGAAGGUACGUCCUAUAUAUACCUGCAAUAUCUUUCAUCAUUGAUAAUUAAAUAUGCAUAUAUUUUACCUAAUAAAGUUGUUGCUGCUCACUCUUUUUGUCCAAUAAAAAGUGUAGUGGCACAUUUGAUAUAUGGUUGGAUGUAAAUUUAUAACGAGCUAGGCAAUUUAAUUUUAUCAAUUUUUAAUUCUUAAAAUAUUUUAGAGAUGACUUAUUAUAUAUAAAGUAUUAUAAUUAAUCCAUCCUACGUACGUACAACGGUGUGGAAGAGCUCUUAAUUAGUUUAACAAAAUAUAAAAUUAAAAUUCAUAAAUAAGUAUAGUUAUUGCACGUCUAUAGUCUACACUCUACACCAUGCAUCAGUACCGGUGGUCCAUGACUGACCAAGUAUUUUUUUUAUUCAGUUAUAUAUAGUGACUGAAUUUUACAUAUUUUUAUGUCAAACUUAUGAAAUGAUUGAAUCAAUCGGAAAUGGUUAGCAUAAAAUUUAUUUUUGAAUAAAUUGGACAAUUAGUUAAUAGUGUUGACAUAUUGUGUGUCAAUAUUCUAUUGGCCGAUUGACACUAACUUAUUAAAAAAUGAACUUCAUGAUAAUCGAAUCCGAAUCAACUAUGAUUAAACUAGUGAUUUGCUUUCAUAGAUCCCAAAGUAAAGCACGUUCACUAGGAAUCUUCCACGUCUCUAGGAAAUAAUUUAGUUUGAAGUGGGUUAAUUGUUAUUUUGACUGUUUUACUAGGGUUAAAUUUUUAUUUUUAUUACUGUUUUUUUUGUUAUAAAAACAUUAUCACACUCAAAAAAAUAUUACAAUAUAAUUAUUAGUACUUAGUAGGAAUUCACCUACCACAUAUUUAAGUACCCCAUAUAAUAGUGGUUAAAUAUAAAUACAGACAAUAUUUCCGUUAAAUUUUUAGACGGAAUGUUAAGUAAUGAUUAGUUUAUAAUUUUUUUAAGUAUAAUAAUGUGUUUGUAUUAAAAAAAAUAUUUAAUAAUUAAAAUAAAAAUUGACCCUUAAUAUAAUAAUCAAAAUAUCAAUUAACCCAAUUGAAAGUGCAUGGAAAAAUUUAAAAAUUACAAGGAUAUUUUCGUAUUCGGUAUUUCACUCAAAGUCAUACAUUAAAAUAGAAAAACUAUCUUUAAAAUAUGUGUGGGUAGUUGUUGGCUUUGACUACUUUCCAACUUUGUCUUUUAGGUCGUGUGAAAGGGUUGAACUUCUGCCAAAUGAAUGAUAUUAAAUUAAAAUUAUUUCAGUUUAAUGUAUUUUCAAUCAUAAAAAGUUGUUAGUAUGACCCAUCACACAUCAUGUAACUUAAAACCAAAUAAAAAAGUUUUUGUGCAUAUAUUCUAAUUAAAAUGAGAGUUAUGAAAAUGUAAGGUUGUAAUUAAUUUCAAAAUAUUUAUGUAUAAUAAAUAAAUAGGCUUCAAAUUUACUAGUUGAGACAAAAUAGAAUUUGGUCAAUUUAAUUAUUAACUUUAUAAGAGUGCAAUUAAUUUCAAUAUAUAAAUUUUGAAAUGCAUUUAUAUAUGGAAACGCAUAGAUGAUAUAUAAUUUUGUGUGGAACACAGAUAGGAUUGUAUGGGUAUCAAUUGCAAUACUGGUGGGGUUAUUCAUGUUUCAAAGAUUUGGAACCGACAAAGUUGGCUAUACCUUCGCUCCCAUUAUUUGUGUUUGGUUCGCAUUCAUCGCAGCCAUUGGCGUCUACAAUUUCAUCAAAUAUGAUCCAUCCGUAGUUAAAGCUAUAAAUCCCAAAUAUAUCAUACACUAUUUCAGCAGGAACAAAAAACAAGCAUGGAU
rnacentral:lncRNA from 1 species